rnacentral:rRNA from 1 species
UACGGGGGGGGCAAGCGUUGUUCGGAAUUACUGGGCGUAAAGGGUUUGUAGGUGGCUAACUAAGUCAGACGUGAAAUCCCUCAGCUUAACUGGGGAACUGCGUCUGAUACUGGUUGGCUUGAGUGCAGGAGAGGAAUGCGGAAUUCCAGGUGUAGCGGUGAAAUGCGUAGAUAUCUGGAGGAACACCGGUGGCGAAGGCGGCAUUCUGGACUGCAACUGACACUGAAAGACGAAAGCCAGGGGAGCAAACGGG